AAUACAGUGCUUGAGUGGUUUAAAAGAUUAUAUUUGAGCUAUAAUGAUUAAUAGUCGCAGGGGUUCGAAUCCCUUCUGUAUUA
rnacentral:tRNA from 1 species